GACAUUCCUGGAGAAAAGGGCUUUCUAGAAGGGGGGUUUGUUCUCCCAGGUACAGAUUGUUUUUUCCUGUCUAAUUCUCCAAAGGUCUACACCCUUUUCAAACUGCAGCUAUUUCACAAGAGCAUGAAGCACUCUCAUAAGAGUCGCUGGACCAUUCCACCAACUGUAGUUGUUACCCUGAGUAGUUUUGUGCAUUAGCAAUUACAUUCAGAAAUAGAAACAGUGACAGUGGCUAGAAAUUCGGCUGCUGAGCUAUGUGUCUUUAAGGAGAAAAAGAAAAGAAAAAGAUCUGUGUACCCAACAACUGAAAAUUUAGUCAUUUAUGAGAAAACAUUUUUGAGCACCAACCCUGAGCCAUUGGCUUAGGAUACAAGAAAGAAGAAGACAAAUAGCUGCCUUUUGAGAGUUUAUCCACUGUGAAUAAUAGACCAACAGCUCCAAUAGUGUUUGCAGGUUGUCCCACUGGAGAGGACAGAGGGUCUGUUUCCAUCAGCAGGAGUUGCCAUUAGAAGAACCGCCAAGAGUUCUUGGAUGGAGAUGAAAAGAACUGGAGAACCAGCCUCCGUGCAUACCUUGGAAUGACAUCUACUCUGCUUUCAAGUUCACCUUGGCUCACUUACAUUCUUAGGAGUAGGUCACAGCACAGUGGUUCUGUGAGAGUGAACAAACUGAUCUAGAUGCAGUUAGUCCCCAGCCACCUGGAAGUUCCCUCCAGAAAUCAAACGAGCAGCUUCCGCAGAGCCUGGUCACUCGCCAGAGCGGUGGAUUCCUCUCAGGAGCUGUUGUAGCCUUUGGCAGGGAGUCAGCUCCGCGGGUCAUUGAUUUCAACUGCUCAGCAUCUUUGUUUCAGCUCAUCUUGUGCAUCUGCCUCUCUCAAUUCAAUUCUAAUAACUUUAAUGGCACAAAGAGAUGGCGAAAGCAUUGCCAAAGUCAAUAAUCAAGUUUCUGCAACCCAGGAUUACUUUUUUUUCCCAGUUGUUUCAGCAUGGAUGAGAACUACACAGGCUCAUGCUGUGUUUUGUCUCUGGAUUAUUCUCUGGUGAGAUAAUUUAUAUCAGGAGAUCUGAGUCAGUCAUUUCGCCCAGUUAUAUUUGGUCUCAUUAUUUUCUGUGGCUUCUUGGUUGAUUCUUAUUUGUUUCCAUGUCUUUUUCAUACUAUUUCUUUAUUGAUGAAGAAACCAGAUCAGCAAAUAUUUAUGAACGUGUUUUGCAUGGAGGCAGUGUGGUAGAGUCUUAGUUCAAAUCCUGGCUCUUCCGCUUUUAUAUACUGUGUGAUACCCAGGCCAAUUAUGUGCCUUCUCUACAGCUCCAGUUACUCAUGUGGACAUUACGUGGCGAGUAAUGACACCAUUCCUUAUUGCAUUGUCAUGAGGAUGGAAUAAAAUUGUGCCGACAGAGCCUGGCCUGGUGUCUGGCACAGAGUAACCCUUCACACAUGGAAAUUGAUAUUUUUAUGCUGGUUUUCAGUGCUGUCUUUUAUCCAUGACCUCAUUUCGUCUUCAAAACACAUCUCUCAAAGAGAAAGGAGAAAUGCAUUUAUUCUAGACAAAGGAACAGACAGAUAAUCAAAGAGAUUAACCGAGAGUCACACAGCUAGCGAGGAGCAGCAGUGGGACCCAAAUACAGACAGGUUCUGUGACUUACAAAUCACAUUUAUAUCUCGGGCACUAAGCAGAUCCGAAAAUGUCAUAAUUGAGAGGUGGAAAAAUGAAGAAUACUGGAAAACUAAGUAGGGUCCUGAUACUGAUAAGUUAGAGUGAUACUUCUGAGUUGGAUGUGUUAAAUCCAAAUCUAGAGCAAUGAAGCAGAGAUGGAAGAGGAAAGCUCCCAAAAGCCCCCAAGGACCAGAGAAUAACAAGGACAAAUCCAGAGCCUCUCCCAAACCUGCCAGGCAGGGGCAAUCACAAGCAAGUCGAUAAUUAGAAGCCUUCUUCAUAGGUUAAAGCCAGCAGAAUCCUGUAGGUCACUGAACACUUUCAACUUAUCCCAGAUCUAAGGUGAAACAAAGACCCGAAAAGGAGAGGCACAGAGGGCCACUUAGCGAGGCCCAGAUUAGAGUCCACAAAGACUCGGUGCACAGCUUGGGAAAGUGGUUCUGAAGAUGAACGUGGUUGUUUGUUAGGACAAUAAUCUGUGUAUUUGUGUAACCAUUAGCCAGGGAGCUGGUGCGUUCCCAGGGAACUAUUCAAGCCAGAAGCAAUUGGGUGAGGCGGGGAAAGAGGCUCCAUUUGUGGUAGAUCUCCCUUCUCCCUCCCUUCCCAAGGCAGUGCAAGUCUAGAGGGAGCCCUGAGCUGCCCUGCUGAGGAGACAAGCGAUUUUUGUUAGUAACUCUGGAGUAAAUGGAUGCUGAGGCUAGGAGUGAGUUCCUCUCCCAUCUGCCCUCGUCCUAUGCUUUGCAUGAUUUGGCUGCUCUGCCUCCCCCUAGCACCUCUUCCCAAUAUCGGCACCCCCUCUGGAUGGAUGGAAAAACCCGAAAAAUCACUCCACAAUAGUUUUUCCAAGUUCAGCUGGUGCACGAGGCCAGGGCCUGGGAGUUCAAGGGAUAAGAAGAAUACUUGCACCAGAGGUACUGCUCGCUUAUUUGGACAUGCACAGGGUUGGGUGUUGAUGGCUACGGAAGAAACUGGGAACUGAACCCCCCACCACAGCCCUGUAGCCUGUGAAUAACUUCCUGUUGUUUUAUUAUUGGUGGUGGGCAUGUCACAUUGAUGUAGCCCAACAGAAUCUUCUGGUUUUCUCCCCCCAUGAAUUCUCCUAACUCCCCAAGUCAGCUGUCUACUCCUGCUGGGGGUGGGGGGACAGAUCUCUGACUGCACACUCUGUGAAGAGAGGGCCAGCUCUGCUCAGUCCUGGACCCCAGCGCCUCCGAGAUUUUGCCCUUUCAGUAACCUCUUGUUGAUGGAUCCAUGGAGACGCUCCAGUGGGCUCUUCAAGGGUGAGGGACUGGCUGUCAAGGCUCGAGGAUGGACAGGGAAGCACAUUAUGGAAAUCUCAGAUGGCCCCCCACAAAGGAAGGUGGUUGAGAGAAAGUAAGAAUGGGAAAAGGAUGAGGUGAAGAAGGAGAAAUGGGGACCCUGGUGAGGGAGAGGGAGUUGGCAUCUGCCAUGAAAGUCAUGAUCCACAGAGGGGACCAGAGGGCUGGGAGGGGCCAGUGGGCAGGGUAGCCAAGGAAGUCCCAGAGGUGGGUCAGACAGGGGAAAGGAACACCCAUCUAGAGGCCUGCUCCAGCCUCUCUCCUGUUCCCCAGUCUUCCAGCCACAUUAGCUUGUCCUGACUUCAAAGAGCUGGUGAGAGUGGGGCUUUCAGUGGGUCCGGGGUGUUUCAUUUGGGGCCUCUUUUCAAUCAGUUGCUGAAAAUGGGUGCAGGACUUGGUCCCUGAGUUUGAGGAUGGUAUUUUCUUAUGGGAAAAAGGAAACUUCCACUGCUUAGAUUCUCAAAACUCUUCCAGGCGUGUCCUCAAGGGGUGCACGAUUUUGAAUCCAAAUAAAGUCUAUUCAGUUGGAAAGCAAGAAUCAUCAUCCUGUUGAAUUCACUGGUAAUUAGACUUCGAGCCAACAUUUGUAAAGUGCUAUAUAAUUUAAUACAGUCUUCCACAGCAUACACUUUUUAAAAAAAUUGUUGUUUGUUUGUUUUGUUUUGAUGCCAACCUAGGGGCUCUUUACCACGGAGCCACAUCCCCAGCCCUUUUUAUUUAUUUUUUUUUAUUUUGAGACAGGAUCUCAUUAAGUUGCUUAGGGCCUCACUACUUUGCUGAGGCUGGUCUCAAACUUGUGACCCUCCUGCCUCAGCCUCUAGAGUUGCUGGGAUUACAAGCAUGUGCUACCUGUCCAGCUAUCCACUUGGUUCUUGAAACAACCUUCCUAGCCCAUUUUAUAGAGGUAAAAUUCAGACCCUAAAAAUAUUCAAAUAAGGUUACACAGCUAAAUUUUGUUAGAUUAGAUUUCCUGGUUUUGCUCUUUCAUUUAAAAAAAAAAAUUCCUAAACUCUUAUGGGUUUUCUUCCCCCUCUAUUACACAAAUCAAGGAUGACAAGAAGGCUAUUCCUUGCAGUCCAUGAAUGGGUACAGUUAUUAGGGAAACUACUCAAAUUACAUGUGGAAUUUGAAUGAAAGUGCACAGCGCUUUUUUUUUUUUCCUGGAGAAGAAAUCCAUAUUUCAAGCAGAUUUAUGAAAACUUUCAUGAUAUGCAAAAGAUUAAACUCACUGAUAGAAGGAAAGGCUGUCACCUUCCCUCUCUACAUACCACAACAAAUGAAGAUUAAAUCGUUACCAUAAAUACAACAACUCUCAAACUAAGCCCUUCAGAGCCAUUCCAAAAUGUCUGGCGUCAGGCUACUAAGCAUUCAGAUCAAUGGGAUCUUUACUUUCUUGGGCUGCUUGGCUCUGGGCAGAGAGGUCCUGGCUCUCUCCCUUCCCCUGUCCCCUGUGUCUCUUGCUCCCAUCCUCAUACAGCUUGGGAGGGGAGAGGAGAGACUUUCCUGGGUCUCUUCAGGAUGAGAUUUCCAGCCUCUGUAACAGAAACCCUUGGUUUCCUACCCAGAGCCUCAGUUUACUCUCUCACGCUCAUUCCCUAGGGGCGACAGGGACUUUCCUGAAUUUGGCCCUAUCCCCAGCCCUAGCACGCUGAUCCUGAUAAUCUGAUCAAUCAUGAGAAUUUUAUUCUCCUUGCUGGAAAUUGGCUUAAGAAGAAACAUAUAACUCAAUUCUGAUCAAAGAAAUCGGAGGGUAACAAAUGAUAGUUUUUAUUUAUUUUUUUUUUGUGUGUGUGUGAUGUUUUUGUUUUUGUUUUUUACUGGGGAUUGAACCCAGGGAAGCUCUACCACUUGGCUAUGUUCCCAGCUCUUUUACAUUAUUUUUGAGACAAGGGCUCACGAAGUUGCCCAGUCUGACCUCAAACUUGUAAUCCUCUUGCCUCAGCAUCCUGAGUAGCUGAGUGGAAGAAUUUCUUUCCAGCUCUCAAGAGAACUACAAGGACUACAGAGGACUCUUUUCUGGCUUUGAACAUGUUUUCACAGAGAAAUAAUCACCAGAGCCCUGGCAGCCAUUUUGUGGUCAGGAGGGAAAAUGAUUGACCUGAUGAAGUUGGCCAGGCAGAAGCAUGGAAAAAUCCUAGACCCUUCCGAGGUUGUUUAAAGAGUGAAUUAACUAACUCCAGCGCACAUCUUUCUAAACACCAUGUAGUGCAUGCUAAUUAAUGUCAUGCAUCACAUUAUUUUAAAACCAUUGUGAAUGGAAUUGACAGUUAUUGUUGGCAAAAAUGUUUUAAUUCCCAGAUUCGGUGGUUCACAUGAGCUUCUGUAAUUCCAGCGACUCAGGAGGCUGAGUCAGAUAGGUUGCAAGUUCAAAGCCAGCUUCAUCAAUUUAGCAAGGCCCUAAGCAACUUAGCAAGGCCCUGUCUCAAAAUUAAAAAAUAAACAGGGCUGGGGAUGUGGCUCAGUGGUUAAGCACCCCUGGGUUCAAUUCUUGGUACAAAAAAAGCCCCAUGCUAUGGAACCACCUUCUGUGGAACGUGUUAAAGUAAGAUCAUCUUACUAUUUUUUUUUCAGAUAAACUCACCUUAUAAAGAAACAAGAGCCACUAUAACUGGAUGAAUGACUAAGAUAGGUGGGUCACAGCACUCAUGGAUCAACCUAUCCAAAACCAAAUUGCAAAUUUUAAAAGGGACCUUUGGGAUAAUUAUUGGAGUGAUUUCAAAGCUCUGAUCAAUGGACUCAUGUGCUUAUACAGGGAUGCUUUACAAACAUACCAAUAUUUGAUUCAAAUUCCUUUAUAAUUUUGUCCCACAAUUUAAAAUUCUUCAAGUAAAUUUUUUUCACAGUUAAAUAUUUCAUACAACAAAUAUUUACAUGCUAGAGAGAACCAGUAUAUAUUAACAUACACAUGUAAAAUAUUAAAUUGUAUUUCCAGUUUCACAGGCUUCUGCCAUAAUUAUUUAGUAAAUGUUCAUUGAGUCAGAAUGAUGUAGCUCCAUGCUGGUCUUUUCUCUAUUAUUAUUGUCAUCCUUCAAUGCAGAACUUUUAUGUCUAUUUAUAUAAAAUUGUACACAUGUGUAUCACAUAUAGCAUGCAGAGGCCCAUGAAAUUAAAAGCCAGGUAGAGUACACUUUUUUCUUAGCUUUUGUGUGAACACAGUGCAAUCAUAAUUUUAAAAUAAUAAUGGGAUGCUUUGUAAUGUGUCACGUGAUGCAUAUUUGUGAACUUACUGUUUGAAUGCUUCUCUCUUCCUUUUAAAGGCUGAAUCAGCUCGCCUUGGCAAAGCAAAACUUCUGGGUUAAUUCUGGAUAAUUGGUUAGCAAAGAUGUUAUGUGUAAAAUAUGUAUGCCGUGUUCCAAGCAAAAUAAAUUUGUGUCUAUUUUAAA